rnacentral:rRNA from 1 species
UACGUAGGGGGCAAGCGUUGUCCGGAUUUAUUGGGUUUAAAGGGUGCGUAGGCGGUUCUUUAAGUCAGUGGUGAAAUACGGCAGCUCAACUGUCGAGGUGCCAUUGAUACUGGGAAACUUGAGUACUGAUGAGGUAGGCGGAAUGGACGGUGUAGCGGUGAAAUGCUUAGAUAUCGUCCAGAACACCGAUAGCGAAGGCAGCUUACUAAGGAGUAACUGACGCUGAGGCACGAAAGUGUGGGGAUCAAGCAGG